rnacentral:rRNA from 1 species
AUGAACGCUGGCGGCGUGCCUAAUACAUGCAAGUCGAGCGAACAGACGAGGAGCUUGCUCCUCUGACGUUAGCGGCGGACGGGUGAGUAACACGUGGAUAACCUACCUAUAAGACUGGGAUAACUUCGGGAAACCGGAGCUAAUACCGGAUAAUAUAUUGAACCGCAUGGUUCAAUAGUGAAAGACGGUUUUGCUGUCACUUAUAGAUGGAUCCGCGCCGCAUUAGCUAGUUGGUAAGGUAACGGCUUACCAAGGCAACGAUGCGUAGCCGACCUGAGAGGGUGAUCGGCCACACUGGAACUGAGACACGGUCCAGACUCCUACGGGAGGCAGCAGUAGGGAAUCUUCCGCAAUGGGCGAAAGCCUGACGGAGCAACGCCUCGUGAGUGAUGAAGGUCUUCGGAUCGUAAAACUCUGUUAUUAGGGAAGAACAAAUGUGUAAGUAACUAUGCACGUCUUGACGGUACCUAAUCAGAAAGCCACGGCUAACUACGUG